UACAGAGGUCUCAAGCGUUGUUCGGAUUCAUUGGGCGUAAAGCGCACGUAGGCGGUCUGUUAUGUCGGAUGUGAAAGCCCUUGGCUUAACUGAGGAAGUGCAUCCGAAACUGGCAGGCUAGAGUACUAAAGAGGGUCGCGGAAUUCCCGGUGUAGAGGUGAAAUUCGUAGAUAUCGGGAGGAACACCGGUGGCGAAGGCGGCGACCUGGGUAGAUACUGACGCUGAGGUGCGAAAGCGUGGGGAGCAAACAGG
rnacentral:rRNA from 1 species